GCGGAGAAAAGAAACUAACAAGGAUUCCCCUAGUAACGGCGAGUGAAGCGGGAAGAGCUCAAAUUUGAAAUCUGGUGGCCUCAGGCUAUCCGAGUUGUAAUCUAUAGAAACAUUUUCCGCGUUGGCCCAUGUACAAGUCUCUUGGAAUAGAGCGUCAUAGAGGGUGAGAAUCCCGUCCUUGACAUGGACUACCAGUGCUUUGUGAUAUGUUUUCAACGAGUCGAGUUGUUUGGGAAUGCAGCUCAAAAUGGGUGGUAAAUUCCAUCUAAAGCUAAAUAUUGGCGAGAGACCGAUAGCGAACAAGUACCGUGAGGGAAAGAUGAAAAGCACUUUGGAAAGAGAGUUAAACAGUAUGUGAAAUUGUUGAAAGGGAAACGAUUGAAGUCAGUCGUGUCUAUUGGACUCAGCCGGUUCUGCCGGUGUACUUCCUUUAGAUGGGGUCAACAUCAGUUUUGAUCGCUGGAAAAGGGCAGGAGGAAUGUAGCACUCUCGGGUGAACUUAUAGCCUUCUGUCGCAUACAGUGGUUGGGACUGAGGAACGCAGCUUGCCUUUAUGGCCGGGAUUUAUCCACGUACAAGCUUAGGAUGUUGACAUAAUGGCUUUAACGACCCCGUCUUGAA
rnacentral:rRNA from 1 species